rnacentral:rRNA from 1 species
AUUGAACGCUGGCGGCAGGCUUAACACAUGCAAGUCGAACGAGUGGCGGACGGGUGAGUAAUGCUUGGGAAUCUAGCUUAUGGAGGGGGAUAACUACGGGAAACAGUAGCUAAUACCGCGUACCAUAGGAUGAGCCCAAGUGGGAUUAGGUAGUUGGUGAGGUAAAGGCUCACCAAGACGACGAUCUCUAGCUGGUCUAAGAGGAUGACCAGCCACCCUGGGACUGAGACACGGCCCAGACUCCUACGUGAGGCAGCAUUGGUGAAUAGUGCGCAAUUUGGGCAACCUGACGCAGCCAUGCCGCGUGAAUGAAGAAGGCCUUCGGGUUGUAAAGUUCUUUCGGUAGCGAGGCGUUAACUACAGAAGAAGCACCGGCUAACUCCGUGCCAGCAGCCGCGGUAAUUC